rnacentral:rRNA from 1 species
GACGAACGCUGGCGGCGUGCUUAACACAUGCAAGUCGAACGGAAAGGCCCUGCUUGCAGGGUACUCGAGUGGCGAACGGGUGAGUAACACGUGGGUGAUCUGCCCUGCACUUCGGGAUAAGCCUGGGAAACUGGGUCUAAUACCGGAUAGGAGCCAUUUUUAGUGUGAUGGUUGGAAAGUUUUUUCGGUGUAGGAUGAGCUCGCGGCCUAUCAGCUUGUUGGUGGGGUAAUGGCCUACCAAGGCGGCGACGGGUAGCCGGCCUGAGAGGGUGGACGGCCACAUUGGGACUGAGAUACGGCCCAGACUCCUACGGGAGGCAUCAGUGGGGAAUAUUGCACAAUGGGCGCAAGCCUGAUGCAGCGACGCCGCGUGGGGGAUGGCGGCCUUCGGGUUGUAAACUCCUUUCGCUAGGGACGAAGCUUUUUGUGACGGUACCUAGAUAAGAAGCACCGGCUAACUACGUG